rnacentral:lncRNA from 1 species
UGGUUAGUGUUAGACUGAGUUGUGGAGGCUUGCUUAACAUAAAUUUGCAAAAUUCUAUUGUGUAUAAUUAAGCAAACUCAUUAGGAGAGCAUAUACUCGUUGGACGAGGUCAAAGCCAAAGAUCUAUUGACUUGGUGGUCGUUGGACGAGAGUAUACUCACUAACGAAACCAAAGUCAAAGAACUCGUUGACUUGAUAAUGGAUGGG